CAGGAAAUAGUUUAUUAAAAUAUUAGUUUUGGAGGCUAAAGAUGGUGUUGUUACUUUUUCUGA
rnacentral:tRNA from 1 species